GGGUUCCAGCGGUUCUUGCCCUUGAGAGAGAUCGCAUAGACGUAGCUUGUGAUGAUCGAGUCUUGGAGAUCUCUGGCCUCGGUGAUGGCUUUCCAGAUCAUGGCGCUCGUUGCCUCGAACGAGGUUGGAGGGCGGCCAUAGCUGUACGGACCACUGUGAACGUCACGGAUAAGAUCGUCGACUUGGUCAGGAUCCAUCUCAAACAUCUUCACUGCGUACUCGGAUGUUACGUCGGUUGCUUUGGCCGAAUGAGUGUUAUAGAUCGGAGAGGAGUAGUAGUCGCGGACUGGCAGAAUGAUCGCUGGGGGCUGCCUGGCCUGGAAAAUGUUAGAGGCAAAAACCGGAGGCCUCAAAAGCGGCAGGCCUCGGUGGAUUUCGGACCAAGCAUUCACAAACGCAAAGUUUGAGGAUCCAUCCAGCACCAGUUCGGCCACUAAGAUCCCCAAUGCAAUCCCACCACACUUGAACUUCGUCACCUAGAUUCAGGAAUUCCAUGAAUAUUUAGGAAUUAACUGCGAUAUCAAGAAACCUGCCUGAACUUUGAAGAUCGGAGCAGUGUCUGGAUCCGUGAUGGCCACUUCCGAAGGAUUGAGAAGCUGCUCGAUGGAGCAAAACGCCAUAUUUUUCCAAUCGCUGAAGCUGGCGUCGGGGGCACUCGCCUCCACAAACGAGACGCCAGCGUCGUUGCAAUCCACCUCCAGCUUGUGACCAUCUUCCGCCCUGCGCACCCGCCCUGCCAAGACAUAAAAUGGGACAAGCACUCUGGACAGCGAAGCUCUCAAGCUCUCGACAAGAUCAUCCCUGCUAGAUGGCGGGAAAUAAUAGACUUGCUUGGUGUAAUUCUCAAAGGAGAUGUGGAAGUCGAGAUUGGAGAGCUUGUGAAUCCGGGGCUGUGGAGUCGGAGUUUCGGGCUUGACAGUCCAAGACCCCAACACCGUCACAACACUAGCCAUGGUUGAUCAUAGGAACAUACACAAACGUAAUAUAUAUAUAUAGCAAAGUUUGUACAGUUAUAAAAUCUUAAAGGUAAAGGUAUUUAUAUUUAUUGUUUUAUCUUGAAUUUAGUUUUGCAUUUUUAUUAGUUAUAAUAAUCAUUUAAAUAAUGGGUUUAAAGUAAAAAAUGAUACGGGUUUGAAGUCAUAGAGCUAAAGAGCCAAUCCAGCUUUUCCUACAGGCAUUCUUCCAGAACAAAGAAGAGCAUUCUCUUUCGUAGUCCAAGGCCCACGCGAAAGAAACCAAUGGCCUAAUGAAGAGGUUAAGGGCAAGCCCGUACUGAACUAGUACAAUCUGGAGGACUCUUUUGUCCGAUGUAAGUAGUAUACAGGUUUCUUCAGAACUGUACAGACCACGUUAGCCACGUGCGUUUAUCAAUAAGAUUGUUACCAAGAAUUAAACUCGAUCGGACAGUUGCCAAUGGUGCGAUGACCAGCGAAUAUAAAGUUUAAACAAUAGAAAUUAGAUGCGAACUCACAAAGCUAUGGGUUCCACAUCGAGAGCUGUAGCGAGCUGUAGCUCUGGAAAAGCAUCACAUGAAAGAACCAUCACCUCUAAUAACUCCUCUCAGAAUCGUACUCGCCUGCCACCAGGGCAGAUUACUUACAACUUGCAAUAUCGUACUCGUCCUCCCUGCCUGCAAGUGGGCAGCCAGUUGAGAUUAUUCUGCCCUUGUGAAAAGUGUGCACAUCCUGUGCCGUGGGGAGGAUCAAAUACAAUUCCGUUUCCGGGAUUUGAACCAGGGUCGCCUGGAUGAAAGCCAGGCAUCCUGACCCGAAUAGACGACGACGGAUUAGAGACCUCAGCUAAAAUAACAGUAGUUUUAUUAUCAGAUUGCUUCACCAGAAGACGUAAGAUUGAUCGAAGUGUCCCUUCCUACAAGCACAGUACAAAGAGGCUCUGAGCGAUUUUAGAUUUUGAUGGGAGUAAGUACCCGUCUCGGCCGGAAUAGAUUGGCGAAUAGUUGUAGAUCAAUAGCUGCUCUUCUUCUUCCCAAGAAGCUGUGUGGCUUGACUUCAGAGCCUCGCUACUCAGACAAACAGUCGACAGUUUAUCCUGUCUAAUGAGAAGGUGAAGAGAAUUACCUGACGAAGAAGCUCGCGGCGCUCUGUGUAAUUCGAACGGCAUCCGGAGAGUGAGGUAUUCCUUCAUAUCCCCAUUCGAAAGCAUUCUUCUGCAAAAUCGAGAGAAUAUCUAAACAAAGAGGUGAAAAACGAGAAAAGCUCUACCUCGGGAUGCCAUUGCACACUAGUUACUGGAUACUUGCGCCCUUCAAUCGUCGAAAUAUAUAUCUGAAAAUCCAAAGGAACUGAUGGCUCAAGAGAUUUGGCACCGAGAAUUACCUUUCCAUUCAGGUCAGGAGUUGUAGUUAGCACGUCGAAGAAAUCUCUAAGGCGCUGUGUGUCUCUCCAAGCCUGUGGAGAUAGACCUUUCUGCAAUCCAAGCCAAAGAAAUGAGAAGAAGAAAACACAAAGUAAGUGCUGAGAACCUUACAAUGUGAUUCUGCAUUGCAAGCUUCUCGUGCUCCACCUUGUCCAGAAUGUCCUUAGGAAACCUGGACAAAGAACACUUCACAAGCACAUACAAAGAACUGACUCGUUACCACGUAAACAUGCUGCGCCCUUUGGCCCAGUCGCCCACGAAGUUUAGCUCUCCAGCAGCUUUGUGUGCGUUGUAAUCGUCCAGGAUGGAAUGGUUGCCACUGACGAUCACGGCUAGAAGUUCCAGACCCAAGCACGUCCCAAACACGGGAAAAUAAUCUCCCUUAUCAUUUGCUUCCAGUGCCCUCUACAAGAUCAAACUAAACAAUCAAAGACUCUAGUUGCAAAGUCACUAUCAUGAAUACUCCUGGAAAAAACAAUGGACGAAGAACGAACAAGACGCAUUCCAAAGCUAAAGCAAGAGGGAAGAACACAAACCUUGAAGAGAAACUCGCCGGCGCGGUAGUAAGGACCAUCUUGCAAGCUUGCGCUCCCACCAGCGAACAAAAUGCCAUUGAUCAGCGAGAAUUUCUGUGCAAACAAAUAAGGGCAAAGAAAUUUAGCUGGAAGUUACCUUCGCUAGCGUCUCCCAAGGCUCGUUGUAAAGCAAAGGAACGGCGCGAGCACCCCCGGCCUCGACGAAUUUCACAUACGAGGCAGCGAUGUAAGAUAUGUUGGAGCGCCUGGGAUCGCCGGGCUCCAGCCUGUUGAUGUAGCUCCUGCCAUCGCCAUCGCCAGGCUGAGUGAGAAUCCCUAUCAGCGGCCGCUUCUCUCGGGAUUCUUCGGGUAGCUGGAUGAUCCUAGCGGCGGCGAUCGCAGCGAGCGCGAGGAAGAUCGCUACAAUGGCUCCUGCCAUGGCGACCCUAGCGUAAGAGCCCUAAUUCGCGGGAAAUUCUCGUCCGCGUCAAUUGCUAGAGCAGCGGACACACACAAGAAACAAGCAAAGAUCGAGCGCCGCCAAGAGCCAGAAGAAGUAGUUCAUAUGGUGAUCGAUCCAGCUCCCGCGUCCGCCACCCUUGCUCGUGAUCUUCUCCACCGCAAGAACAAGAACACUACUCUCUAAAUCCUUUUCCACCCCCGCCACAACCAUGGCCCUUUGCAAGCAGGUCAAUUCGCUCUGUUGACCGGUCAACAUGCGAAGAACUGGGACGAGAAAGCCUCUCGUCAAGCGGCACUGUGAGAAUGACGGGGCGAGCGAUGCCGGGAGCACUUUGAAGCCGGAGAUGCGGUUGCGCAUUUCUUGCCCCUACUGCACGAACAGCGUGGAUGAAAACGGUGGAGAAGCAUUCUGCUGCGAGCGGCGCUGCUAAGAUCGCACUGGCGGCGGCAUUGUUCUGCAAGCAGCAGUGCUAGAUCGCAGCAGCAGUGGCCGCGAUCGCAGCUCGAGGAGAUCUAGCCGGUAAGAGACUGAUAUUGCUGGCGUGACUCGAUGCAGUGGAAUGAAGCCUAGGGUGUCUGCUGUCCCAUGGAAGACACCCCAGCAUCCAUUGCCCCUGAGAUCCUCUUCUCACAACACUCAAACUUGCACACGAGUCUAGCUGCCUGAAGUAGAACUUCGGAUAAUCCAAAGUUUCUGGGAAAGGUGUUUAUAGUAGUCACUUCAGUCUAGAUUUAAAAAACUUCCGGACCUUCUAGCAGAGCAGAGCCACUGCCUCACAGAUAAAUCCGAGGUACAACUUGUAACCAUGGUAUGUGCUACUUCUCUGCCCCCCUUUUCAUUUGUGAUGUUGUUAAUCCCCCUACAACAACCUUUACGUAGACCAAAUAGCAAUGUACGUGACCUAUCAAGUAAGACCGGCUUCUCAAGCCAGCUCUUGAAUGUAUGUUUUUCUGCUUGUUUAAACAAAAUGCAACCUGCAUGUGCACUUGCAAAAAUGAAACAAUCAAAGCAUAGCUUUUUAUAAAUGUUCUUGCUUGUGUAUGAGUAGAGGUCAGACAAUCCAAGAGCCAUAAUUCUUUGGCUCGCCAACAUGGCGCAAGAGAAACCCUGGUGAUUCUCCAGCGAUAUCCUUGUGAUUAGAGCUGCCAAUGCAGCUGUAUGUCACUGCAUGUAAGAAUGCCCACUUGAGGCUGGCCAAAACGCUGGGAAAGAAGAAAUGUAAAUCAAAGAGCUCCUUGCGUGUAAUCUUGUCUCACAAGCCACGAUUCAAUGGAUAUGAAGUGCAGCCACGUGUUGCAAGUUGGUUUCCCCCAUAGCACCAAUGAGCUUCUUCCAUUCCAGCCAGUGUGCCCACUUUUAAUUGGCCAUCCAUACAUCAACCAUAGGAGCACCAAAUUCUUCCAUAUAAUCUUUUAUAGAGAUUUGCUAUACAUUUGGUCCAGAUGCAAUGAACCAAGCUGGUAGGCAUUAAGUAAAACACAAUGUCCUCGAGGUAUGUAUCGGAAAUAUAAACUUUUACAUUUUUAAGGAUUAAAUCCUUGUAUUUAAAAUAAAAUUAUUCUAUUAAAAAUCCUUCGUUCAAGAAAAAAAUUACCAACACCAAUAUGAACCAGUAAUCAUUCCAGAGUAGUAUACUUGCGGAAGAAUUCAUGGUUCACGAGCUUCUUCAUAUGGAUUGCAGGCAGCGAGAUGAGCAGCCGCCGGUGCCUUCCUCCUCUUGGGCUGGGGAGAAUCACCGUCACACCGUUCCCAUACCACGGCGGCUGCAUUACCAGAGAGUAGUGUACAGUCUUUCCCCAUCCAAAAUCAACGCUGUACACAGGGAAACUGUGCAAGCUCGUGCUGUAGAUCCCAGUCCCCGACACAAAAUCACCAUUUAGAUUGAUCUUCCUUCCUCUGCCCAGCUCCAUCUCCAUCCAAUCGAUGGCAGAUUGCAUGUGUUCUUGAGUGGUGCUUAGGAUAUCCUCGUGGAAGAGCCUCGCAGCGUAGGAGAGAUGGCGGGAUUUGAUGUCCCCGGCCUUGGCAGUGAGGCAUGGCGAGUGGAUGCUGUUGCCAAUGUACGAGGCUGGGACUGGGGGGUUCCAGCGGUUCUUGCCCUUGAGAGAGAUCGCAUAGACGUAGCUUGUGAUGAUCGAGUCUUGGAGAUCUCUGGCCUCGGUGAUGGCUUUCCAGAUCAUGGCGCUCGUUGCCUCGAACGAGGUUGGAGGGCGGCCAUAGCUGUACGGACCACUGUGAACGUCUCGGAUAAGAUCGUCGACUUGGUCAGGAUCCAUCUCAAAAAUCUUCACUACGUACUCGCACGUUACGUCGGUUGCUUUGGC
rnacentral:lncRNA from 1 species